UGGGGAAUUUUGGACAAUGGGCGCAAGCCUGAUCCAGCCAUGCCGCGUGCGGGAAGAAGGCCUUCGGGUUGUAAACCGCUUUUGUCAGGGAAGAAAUCUUCUGAGUUAAUACCUCGGGAGGAUGACGGUACCUGAAGAAUAAGCACCGGCUAACUACGUGCCAGCAGCCGCGGUAAUACGUAGGGUGCAAGCGUUAAUCGGAAUACUGGGCGUAAAGCGUGCGCAGGCGGUUUUGUAAGACAGAGGUGAAAUCCCCGGGCUCAACCUGGGAACUGCCUUUGUGACUGCAAGGCUUGAGUGCGGCAGAGGGGGGAUGGAAUUCCGCGUGUAGCAGUGAAAUGCGUAGAUAUGCGGAGGAACACCGAUGGCGAAGGCAAUCCCCUGGGCCUGCACUGACGCUCAUGCACGAAAGCGUGGGGAGCAAACAGGAUUAGAUACCCUGGUAGUCCACGCCCUAAACGAUGUCAAC
rnacentral:rRNA from 1 species